rnacentral:rRNA from 1 species
UUUGACAGCUAGCUCUCUGCUACUCUUACAUGGUUGCCCUCUAAAGCUAAGCAGGGCUGCGCCCGGUCAGUACCUGGAUGGACCACAUGAGAAAGCUAGGUUGCUGCCAGAG